GUGUGUGUGUGUGUAUGUGUGCGUGUGUGUGUGUGUGUGUGCGAGUGUGUGCGUGCGUGUGUGUGCGUGUGUGUGUGUGUGUGUGUGUGUGUAUGUGUGUGUGUGUGUGUGUGUGUGUGUGUGUGUGUGCUCCACCCUCAGGUCUUAUUCCAGCACCUCCAUAGAUGAUGCUAUGAAGAAGGUGGAGGACCCCCCCCACUCCUCCACCGCGCCCUCACAAGACUCACUCCCGCGCCUCCUCCCUCGACCUCAACAAACUCCUCCAGCAGAGUAGCCAGGGUGUGAAGAGCCUGACCCAUCCACCUGCCCUUCCACCGCGGCCACCAGUAUCCCAGAUGACCCACUUCCUCCCUGACAAGAACUCCCAGCAGACCUUGCAGCAGCACUGCUUUGCAGACUUUAGCAAACUCAGAGAAGAGGUGAGAAAAAUACAUACACACACACACACACACCCUCAGACACUCCUUCCUUGUG
ensembl:lncRNA